CGCUGUGCGCGGAGAGGCGGCGGGCGCCGCGUCUCCUCCGCGCCGCUGGCGGAGCCAUGAAUCUGGGUGAUGGACUGAAACUUGAAACUGAAGUGCUGGAUGGAAAGCCUAGGCUAAUUUUAGCUGCUUCUGAUAAAUCAAAGCCUGCAAUUAAGAUGGGUAAUAAAGCCAGAGCACCGAAACAGGCAUUGAGAAUAAGGCAUACUGAACAUGUUCUGAGGUUGACACAAAAUGCUUGUAUGAAGCAGGAAAACUUAACAAAACCAAGGAGUGAAUCAAGCUUAUCAGUGAUGAAAGGUGAAAAACUGCAAGUUACUAAAUACUCCUCACAUGAAACCGCAACUAAAGAUCACUCCCUGAUUUUCCAGAGAGAGAGCACAAACAGAUACCCUGAUUCAGAGAAUACUAACAUUGAUAAAAAAAGUAAACAGAAACCUCAAACCCCAUGUGUAUCAGCUGAAGACCUAAGAAGUUUGGUGUGUUUAACACAAGCACAGCUUCAACAGAUUUUGAUGACUAUAAGAGAAGGAAACAGAAGCCUCUCCGAGACUCAUAAUGAAAAACAAGAGAAAAUGGCUACUAAUGAGGCACCAGAGGAAAACAUUAUAGCAUUGCUUCAAAAAACGUGUGAAAUGUCAUCUGUUGGCGGUGAAGCUAACUCUGAUUCAAGCAGGAAACAAGAAGCAUAUCCACAGCCAGAACAGAAAGUUACAAAGGAUUUGUGGAAACCUGGUGACAUGUUUAGUACCCUGGGUGAAAGAGAAGGGGAGAAGGCCUUAUUAGAAUUACGAAAGACCCAAUGGAAGAAGGAAUUAGAUGAACAGGUAGCACUGAAGAAGAAACUGAAAGAAACUUUGGAGGGAGAGGUGGGUUAUUUCUGGGCAAAACCUGGCAAUCAUAAAACCCAUAAAGAGAAAGUGGAAACAGCUGACCCAGAUAAGACAAUGUUUCCAGCUGACUCUAUUACCACUGAGGAAAACUGUGUCUGUACAACUCCUUCAACCACAGCAGCUAAUAAAGUUCCACUGAAUGGUUCAAGUGCUCCAGCUGGGCAGUCUUCUGAUUUUUGUUCUGAUUUAGCAGCUGACAGUUGUGCAGCAUCUGUUUUCAGGGAAGCUGUGCCACAGGAACAACCUUUUAGUGCUUUGAAGCAUGAGCAACAGAAUAAGUGGCUUGAGGAGUUGGACAAACAGAAUGAAGAAGCUAAGAUACAAAAAAUAGAAGAAAAACUUAAUUUAUCAGAGGCUGAAGAGCAGGACAGAUGGGCAAUGCAUUUUGAUUCUUUAAAGAACCACCUUAAUUCUAACGCACAACACUCCCUAAAUGGAAUGUACAAAAAGCAGCCUGAAAGUCUUUGCCUGUCACCUGACCCUAAGGAGCUGACUGCUUUUAUUCACCCUUUUUCACCUGCAGCUUUAGGCAACUUCAUGCCCUUAAAGGUGGAAAAUGCAGGAAAAUCUGCUAAAAACAGUGCUUUGGAACACAGUCAGAAAGUCAGUUUCCUCCGUUCAAUGACUGCUCUCCUGGACCCUGCACAGAUUGAAGAGAGAGACAGGAGGCGGCAGAAACAGUUAGAACAUCAGAAAGCAAUAAUGGCUCAGGUAGAAGAAAAACGGAAGAAGAAACAACUAGAGGAAGAGCAGAGAAAAUGGGAAGAACAAGAGGAAGAACAGCGCCUAGCACGAGAAAAAGAACAAAUGCAGAAACAGUUUGAAGAAGAUAUGCUGAAACAAAAACAAAAGGAGGAAUUCGCGACUCUUAAAACAAAUGAGAUCUAUCAGACAAUGCAGAAAGCUCAAGAAUUAGCACAGAGAUUAAAACAAGAACAGCGCAUUCGAGACUUGGCUCAAAAGGGACAUGACAUUUCAAAACUUCAGAAGAAUCUUGGUGGUGGUGAUACAGAAUUUGAAAACUGUAAUACUGGCGUUUCACAUCAAAGUAAUCAUUUUUCAGAUGACAUUAAGAGUCACACUGAUCAGAAGACUUCUUCUCGGAAAGACACUGCUGUGCAAACAGAGUACUUAAAUAUUUCAUCAUACACUGAGUCAGCUGAGGAAAGAACUGUGUGUUGCGGAUCACCUGAUAUUUCCAUAGAAUAUAAAGAAACCUCUUACAGCAAAAAAUACCACAAGGAAAUGCAGUAUAUAGAUAAAAAUAAAAUUUCAGGAAAAGAGGCUGCUGGGAUUUACAGUGAUCUAUAUGAACAAUAUGUAAGAAAAGAAAGACAAAUUAAACCUUCAGAAAAACACAGCAAAAGACCUGACUGGAACAUAAACAAGCCUGGGAAAAGAUACAUUCCAGCAUCGGAAAGAUACCCUAAACAGCUACAAAAACAAAGGGAAGAAAACAAAGUAAGGCGACAAAUGGAACUGCUUCAGUUGGUAGAAAGAAAUACCCCUGGGAAUCUCUGCCCCAAAAAGGGUGGUUAUUCAGACAGGUCUCCUUCACCUCACGAAGAAAUAAAUAUGAAGAAUAAGGGACAUAGAGUCAGAAAGGAAGAACAAUUACAUAAGAAUCAUUUGAAUGAAGAAAGAUCUGAAUCACCACCUGUUCCAGCAGUUAAGAACAGAUUACAUCAAGUACAACAAAAACAGAUACUUGCUUCUAAUUUCCUGGUGCAUAACCACAACAGCAGAAGAGAGAAAAAUAUCAAGACAGAUACACAGCAGAGGAGCUCCCCUCCUCCCAUUGCAGAAGCUGGACGACCUCCCUCUUCACAAUUUAUUCCGUAUGUUCGAACAAAUGAAGUAUAUUAUCUUGAUCCAGAUGCACCAGUGACUAGACCUUCAACACAUGACCCACAGUAUCGACAGUUUAAUGAUUCUUAUCAAAUGCCACGACCAAUUCUUAGCUCUGAUCACGUUAGAGAUUCUCUUCUAAAUCCUGAUGCAGUCAAAAUCAGAGAGAGACAACAAGCAAUUCUCAAAGGAUUGUCAGAAUUACGCCAGGGCCUCCUGCAGAAGCAGAAGGAGCUGGAGACAGCUUUGAUUCCUGCUAUAGCUCAAGAAGAGAACUUUAUUUCACCAUUUUGAGAGAUCUCUGCAGAAGUUUCAUAACCUGAGUUCAUUUUAGUUGUUCUGUGACAGAACGUGAUAAACGCCACAAACCCCCAACCCCAGACUCUUCCCAGCAGCAACUUUGCCAGAACCCGAAUCCGAAGACGCCUCACAGCAGCGGCCGGGGGCAGGGAGGUGCCCUCUUGCCUCUCACCCGUGCGCCCAGGCAUGCGGUUCAGCAAACCUCAAUAUCCUAGCCAGACCAAGAGCUACCCCCGAAAGGAAGAAGAUGGCAGACAAUAUGCAAGCUGUUACAGUAACGCUGUACUUGUUCCAUGCAACAAUUUGACAGAUUACUAAAAAACCCUACCACUAUAAACAAGGCGAGAGCCAGAAUAGAGCAUCUUUUUUCUACAAGAGGUAGAAGACAACUGCAAGGCUUUGGUCUCAGCAAAGAUGAAAAAACACCCUCAUUUACAGCACUCGGCAAGGGGAUGACAGAAGUUUUGCUGCCUGUUGCUGGAGCAGCAGCAUAUGACACUUAUUGUAAAACUAGUGAGGAAGACUGACCAUGGUUGCUUUCCAUCUUUGAAGUAUUCUUAGUUAUAAUUUUAUUACAGAAAGAGCAGACAUAAAGAAUGAGGAACACACAUCUCUGAGUUCAGAAAUUUUCCAUAUAUGCUCCUACCAAACAGAAAAGCUUAUUCACAGACAAGUUUGUGUUUAUCUAUGCAUACAUAUGUUAAAAAAAUAAGAGUGUUUUUUUCAUUUAGUCUCAUAAUAUUUAUGAAAAUAGUACAUUCAUUACCAGCACCU